CAAGAGUUUGAUCCUGGCUCAGGAUGAACGCUGGCGGCGUGCCUAAUACAUGCAAGUCGAGCGAACCACUUCGGUGGUGAGCGGCGAACGGGUGAGUAACACGUAGGUCAUCUGCCCAUCAGACGGGGACAACGAUUGGAAACGAUCGCUAAUACCGGAUAGGACGAAAGUUUAAAGGUGCUUCGGCACCACUGAUGGAUGAGCCUGCGGCGCAUUAGCUAGUUGGUAGGGUAAAGGCCUACCAAGGCGACGAUGCGUAGCCGACCUGAGAGGGUGAACGGCCACACUGGGACUGAGACACGGCCCAGACUCCUACGGGAGGCAGCAGUAGGGAAUCUUCGGCAAUGGGCGAAAGCCUGACCGAGCAACGCCGCGUGAAUGAUGAAGGCCUUCGGGUUGUAAAAUUCUGUUAUAAGGGAAGAACGGCUUUAGUAGGAAAUGGCUAGAGUGUGACGGUACCUUAUGAGAAAGCCACGGCUAACUACGUGCCAGCAGCCGCGGUAAGAGCCGAA
rnacentral:rRNA from 1 species